rnacentral:ncRNA from 1 species
CAUAUAGGCAAACUAUACCCGAAAGGGUACGACGCAAAGCUAUAGGGCCUGAAUUCAAGUAUGCUAGCCAGUUGCAGA